rnacentral:lncRNA from 1 species
AGCAUCUUUGUUUAAAGCAUCUUGGUCCUUAGUAUCAUAGAAGACUUCGCCUGUCUAAUAAGUUGUUAACAAUCAAAUUGUUGGCAGUGGUCUUAAUAGAAAUGAAAUGUCUGCCUAAAGUAAACUUUAGCUGCUUCUGCCUUUCUAGUUUCAGGAAACAGAAUUCAUUAAACCAGUCAAGCUCUAAAUUAUUCUUGCAAGCUCAGAUGCUUAGGCCUCCAGUACAAUGUGUACUAUGAGUCCAGGUUGUUUCACGAGCAAAAGGAGCAGAGGCCUCUGCUGCAGGAAGGUUUGCCUAAUCCCCGGACCCCUCUGGGCUUGGGUGCUAUGAGGAACCUGCUGCUCUGUUACUCAUGGUUGAUCCUUCCUCCUUUUAUAGCAAUUGAAACAGAUCGAGAUGACUAGGAUGGCCCAGAGUCAGUCUGGACUCCACAGGUCACAUGGCUGAGGAGAUUGUCUACCACUUCUCUGGCAGCCAGCUCCAUGAAGGGAUAGAAUCAGUCCCUCCCUGUGCUGAUGUAGUGGGCUGUGUUCAGGUGAACAUUUCACCAAGGCAAACUGGCAACUGUACUCCAACUCUCAAGGAGCCCAAACUCGGCUGACUCUGUUCUUCCACCUCAAAUCCAUCAGAGGC